rnacentral:misc_RNA from 1 species
UUUAUAAAGUAUAUUGUAAGUACAAUUCUUUUUUAUUCCUAUAUUGAAGCUUUAAUUUUAUCUCAAGAAAACAAAGCCAAGACAGACGAGAAUCAAGAAACCAAAACCCACACAUAAGGUGUCUAAAGUGCCUUCAGUUCUCAAUUUUCUCUCUUUUCUUUCUCUUUUCAUUUCCAAAAAUCCUUCAUACCUUCUCCUUCCUUCUUCUUCACUUCUUCCCUUAAUUCCCUUCUUGCCCUCGAAUGAUCUGUUUAAAAUUCCCAAACUGUCCUUCCCGUUCAUGAACAUUCCAUCCAUGUCCUCCACCUGCACGCUCACUUCCCUCACGUGCAUUCCUCCACCCGUUGUCCCUCCUCCACAGGUCAACACAAUUCCACACUGUACAAACUCCGUUGAUGAUCCUUUCUCGCCGGCCAAAAUCGAUACAAACCGCGCGUGUACCUCACCGCUCAGCCAGUGUCUCUGCACAGAAACCGGCUUGUGGCUUGAGAGGUUCAUGGCUCGCCGUCCGGUAGCGUCGAUCAAAAUCCAGCUCAGCGUCAAUUCCUCCGCCAGCUCCCGGCAAGCGUCCUGUGUUUCUGGAUGCGGUAUAGGCGUAGCACACGUGUCCUUGGGGUCGAGCAUGUCGAUUC